rnacentral:rRNA from 1 species
GACGAACGCUGGCGGCGUGCUUAACACAUGCAAGUCGAACGGAAAGGCCCUGCUUUUGUGGGGUGCUCGAGUGGCGAACGGGUGAGUAACACGUGAGUAACCUGCCCUUUACUUUGGGAUAACUUCAGGAAACUGGGGCUAAUACCGGAUAGGAGCUCCUGCUGCAUGGUGGGGGUUGGAAAGUUUCGGCGGUUGGGGAUGGACUCGCGGCUUAUCAGCUUGUUGGUGGGGUAGUGGCUUACCAAGGCUUUGACGGGUAGCCGGCCUGUGAGGGUGACCGGCCACAGUGGGACUGAGAGACGGCCCAGACUCCUACGGGAGGCAGCAGUGGGGAAUAUUGCACAAUGGGCGGAAGACUGAUGCAGCAACGCCGCGUGCGGGAUGACGGCCUUCGGGUUGUAAACCGCUUUCGCCUGUGACGAAGCGUGAGUGACGGUAAUGGGUAAAGAAGCACCGGCUAACUACGUG